AAUGGCUCAUUAUAUAAGUUAUCGUUUAUUUGAUAGUACCUUACUACUUGGAUAACCGUGGUAAUUCUAGAGCUAAUACAUGCUGAAAAUCCCGACUUCGGAAGGGAUGUAUUUAUUAGAUUAAAAACCAAUGCCCUCUGGGCUCUCUGGUGAUUCAUGAUAACUUCUCGAAUCGCAUGGCCUUGCGCCGGCGAUGGUUCAUUCAAAUUUCUUCCCUAUCAACUUUCGAUGUUUGGGUAGUGGCCAAACAUGGUUGCAACGGGUAACGGAGGGUUAGGGCUCGACCCCGGAGAAGGAGCCUGAGAAACGGCUACUACAUCCAAGGAAGGCAGCAGGCGCGCAAAUUACCCAAUCCCGAUUCGGGGAGGUAGUGACAAUAAAUACUGAUACAGGGCUCUUUUGGGUCUUGUAAUUGGAAUGAGUACAAUUUAAAUCCCUUAACGAGGAACAAUUGGAGGGCAAGUCUGGUGCCAGCAGCCGCGGUAAUUCCAGCUCCAAUAGCGUAUAUUAAAGUUGUUGUGGUUAAAAAGCUCGUAGUUGAACCUUGGGCCUGGCUGGCCGGUCCGCCUCACCGCGUGUACUGGUCCGGCCGGGUCUUUCCCUCUGUGGAACCCCAUGCCCUUCACUGGGUGUGGCGGGGAAACAGGACUUUUACUUUGAAAAAAUUAGAGUGCUCCAGGCAGGCCUAUGCUCGAAUACAUUAGCAUGGAAUAAUGAAAUAGGACGUGCGGUUCUAUUUUGUUGGUUUCUAGGACCGCCGUAAUGAUUAAUAGGGACAGUCGGGGGCAUCAGUAUUCAAUUGUCAGAGGUGAAAUUCUUGGAUUUAUUGAAGACUAACUACUGCGAAAGCAUUUGCCAAGGAUGUUUUCAUUAAUCAGGAACGAAAGUUAGGGGAUCGAAGACGAUCAGAUAC
rnacentral:rRNA from 1 species